ACGAACGCUGGCGGCGUGCUUAACACAUGCAAGUCGCACGGAAAGGCCCUGCUUUUGUGGGGUGCUCGAGUGGCGAACGGGUGAGUAACACGUGAGUAACCUGCCCUUGACUUUGGGAUAACUUCAGGAAACUGGGGCUAAUACCGGAUAGGAGCUCCUGCUGCAUGGUGGGGGUUGGAAAGUUUCGGCGGUUGGGGAUGGACUCGCGGCUUAUCAGCUUGUUGGUGGGGUAGUGGCUUACCAAGGCUUUGACGGGUAGCCGGCCUGAGAGGGUGACCGGCCACAUUAGGACUGAGAUACGGCCCAGACUCCUACGGGAGGCAGCAGUGGGGAAUAUUGCACAAUGGGCGGAAGCCUGAUGCAGCAACGCCGCGUGCGGGAUGACGGCCUUCGGGUUGUAAACCGCUUUCGCCUGUGACGAAGCGUGAGUGACGGUAAUGGGUAAAGAAGCACCGGCUAACUACGUG
rnacentral:rRNA from 1 species